GAUGAACGCUGGCGGCGUGCCUAAUACAUGCAAGUCGAGCGAACAGAUGAGGAGCUUGCUCCUCUGACGUUAGCGGCGGACGGGUGAGUAACACGUGGAUAACCUACCUAUAAGACUGGGAUAACUUCGGGAAACCGGAGCUAAUACCGGAUAAUAUAUUGAACCGCAUGGUUCAAUAGUGAAAGACGGUUUUGCUGUCACUUAUAGAUGGAUCCGCGCCGCAUUAGCUAGUUGGUAAGGUAACGGCUUACCAAGGCAACGAUGCGUAGCCGACCUGAGAGGGUGAUCGGCCACACUGGAACUGAGACACGGUCCAGACUCCUACGGGAGGCAGCAGUAGGGAAUCUUCCGCAAUGGGCGAAAGCUUGACGGAGCAACGCCGCGUGAGUGAUGAAGGUCUUCGGAUCGUAAAACUCUUUUAUUAGGGAAGAACAAAUGUGUAAGUAACUAUGCACGUCUUGACGGUACCUAAUCAGAAAGCCACGGCUAACUACGUG
rnacentral:rRNA from 1 species